GAAUUGCAUUCACAUUUGAGAUACUCAAUAUUCCAUUUUUAGCCUUCUUCUUGCUAUAAAGUUCCACUGAAAGCGGAAAUGUUUUUAUUUGAUUACAAAUAAUUCAAAUAACUGGCUACAUAACACUAAUGACAAUGGCGCCCCGUCCCAUGUAACACAAGUAACGUCAAAUUUGUGGAACUUAUUGAAUGU